UCCCUGAGAUCAGCGGCGGACGGGUGAGUAACACGUGGGUAACCUGCCUGUAAGACUGGGAUAACUCCGGGAAACCGGGGCUAAUACCGGAUAACACCUACCCCCGCAUGGGGGAAGGUUGAAAGGUGGCUUCGGCUAUCACUUACAGAUGGACCCGCGGCGCAUUAGCUAGUUGGUGAGGUAAUGGCUCACCAAGGCGACGAUGCGUAGCCGACCUGAGAGGGUGAUCGGCCACACUGGGACUGAGACACGGCCCAGACUCCUACGGGAGGCAGCAGUAGGGAAUCUUCCGCAAUGGACGAAAGUCUGACGGAGCAACGCCGCGUGAGUGAAGAAGGUUUUCGGAUCGUAAAACUCUGUUGUUAGGGAAGAACAAGUGCCGUUCGAAUAGGGCGGCGCCUUGACGGUACCUAACCAGAAAGCCACGGCUAACUACGUGCCAGCAGCCGCGGUAAUACGUAGGUGGCAAGCGUUGUCCGGAAUUAUUGGGCGUAAAGCGCGCGCAGGUGGUUUCUUAAGUCUGAUGUGAAAGCCCACGGCUCAACCGUGGAGGGUCAUUGGAAACUGGGGAACUUGAGUGCAGAAGAGGAAAGUGGAAU
rnacentral:rRNA from 1 species